AGUGCAAGGUCAAAAGGUUCAAUAUAGCAAAAAGUCUCGAACAAUUUUGGAUGUAACAUUACAAAUCAUUUGAUACAGAAGGAGACCUUUAAGAGUCUGCAAAUGAAAUAUGCAUUCAACCAGACUAGUUUCAUAAACUGCUCAACAAAGAACCAUAUGCCCUUAAAUAAUUUUCUCUGAAGAAAAUAAAUAUUGUUCAUGCAUGUUAUGGUCUCUGGGAAAGUAGAUGAAAAAAUAACUCAAUUGUAGACCAUAUAUUUGGGAGUGGCACUGAACUUCUGGUACCCUUUGAUGACUUUAUUCACUGCAUCAAGGAAGUCUUUCUCUGUUACAGUCUUCCUUCGGGCGCGGAUAGCAUACAUACCAGCUUCUGUGCAUACACUCCUUAUAUCAGCUCCUGGAGAGAACAAAAAAUAUCUUGGUCAGAAAAGAAAACUAAACAUUUCAUGACAGAAAGCAAGUAGCAAAAAUACCUCAAAACCAGAACAAGUUUUGCAUAGAAAGGAUUUAAGCCAGAAUAUCAAAGUAUUUAAAAGAUCAAUGGUCAGAAGGUAAAAGCUAAAUUAAAAAUUGCCCAGUUGUUAACUUGUUCUUACCGGUAGAGUUUGGGCAAAGCCGAGCUAGAAGUUCAAAACGAAUAUCCCUUUCACAGUUCAUGGUUCUUGUGUGAAUCUUGAAUAUCUGUGUCCUACUCUCUAAAUCAGGAAGGCCAAAUUCAACUUUACGAUCCAAUCGUCCAGGUCGUAAUAGUGCNNNNNNNNNNNNNNNNNNNNNNNNNNNNNNGGGUCCAGAGUGUCGGGCCUAGAAAUUUUGGACAAAAGCCAUUAGCAAUAAAGCUAGCAUAAUUAUGGAAACUAGCAAUGCAACCUUGAUUUUAUCUCUAUUUAUUACAAGAGGGUGGGCAGACAUUAUGACAUCAAUUAUACGAAAUACGACAAUGAAUACAGAUAGUGAGACACUUUGUAGCCAUCUACAGUUAAAUAGAGAACAAAGGAAAAAACAAAUAGUAGUAAAAUCAACCAACCUGUUUGUUGCCAUCAAAACUUUGAUGUUUCCUCGAGCAUCAAACCCAUCAAGCUGAUUCACNNNNNNNNNNNNNNNNNNNNNNNNNNNNNNNNNNNNNNNNNNNNNNNNNNNNNNNNNNNNNNNNNNNNNNNNNNNNNNNNNNNNNNNNNNACAGGAGGUAACAAAUUCUGUCAAUGGUACCAAUCAGGGAACAAUGAUCAAAGCAAAGCUUGAAAACAAGACUUGAAUAUUUACCUGAAAUAGUUCACGAACCAUCCGAGCUCCCUCACCAACAUAUUUCUGAACUAGUUCACUUCCAAUGACCCUAAUAAAACAGGCAUCAGUUCUAUUAGCAACAGCCCUGGCUAGAAGUGUUUUGCCAGUUCCUGGUGGACCAUAACAAAGCACGCCCUUUGGAGGAUCAAUUCCAAGCUUGACAAAUUUCUCUGGAUGAAGCAUGGGAAGUUCAACAACCUUGCAGAGAAAUAAAAAAAAUUAGUGCCACGUAACUUAUUUCCUUUGGUAUAUGAAAUGUGGAAAUUUUCAAAAACUUACUUCACGCAUCUUUUCAAUCUGUUCCUUACAACCACCAACAUCAUUAUAUGUCACAUCUGGUUUCUCUUCAACUGUCAUCAUUGUAACACUUGGAUCAAUUUUUGGAGGCAAAGGAAUCUGAAUCUGAUAUUUGUUUCUAUCAACACUGCAAUGAUAAUCAAAUAAAGGUUAAACAAACACAAUCAAGGUAAUGAUGUUGUUACUCUUCUUUCAAUGGGUGAUAUUUUAUCAUAAAUGGUUAUUUUUGGAUACAUACCCAACACGCAUUCCUUCCUCUAUGUCUGUGGGGGAAACCUUGUCUCCGAGCCCAACAACAAACUGUUAUCAUCAAAGCAAACGGAAUAUUAGACCGAGCGUAAAAAAUGCGUGAAAAUCUUGGCAUAUUAAACAGCACAUAAACAAGUGAUGCCUGACAUUUGCAAACAAAUAUCAAUAUAAUAUACAAUGGUUAAAUGAAAAUAUUGAAGUGAUGUAUAAGCACCUUAGCAAUUUGCUUCACAUUGAUAACAUAUUUGGCAUCCUCGGAGUUUGGAUUUAUAAUUUUUGUGCAUCUUGCAACCUGUUCAAUAAAUACUCAUUGUUAGCCAUUCCUACAAAUAAUAGAAGCGCUUCGAACAAAUUCUAAAAAAUGAGAAAGAAAAUCACCUGAAGAGGCUGCUCCUCCUGCAUCAUCUGCUUAUCAGAAACAAGAUCCCACUGACUUGGUGCAGCUAAACCAGUAUCAGACUCCUUGAUACCUAUUAUUACAAUAGGAAGUUAAACAUCUAAGGAAGUGUGCACGUGUUAACAGCAUCCAACUCUAGCAACCAAGACAAACCACUAUGAAAUAUGAAUGCCACGAAAAUAAAACGCCUAGAAUUAAAUUUGGAGAUAGAUAUAUACCCAAUUAACGGACUACUUGUAAGCAUCAAAAUGAAAAUAGACAACAAAGGGGCAUUAGAAUAGGCCACAAUACCAAGGGGAAAAAAAUAUAAGAUGUAUUUUUGUUUGGUUUAAACAAUUUCAACCAUGUACAAAGCAAUCAAGAAAAGCAGAAACAAACUAAACCUUUUUCACAUACCACAUAAGUCAUUCACUUUCUUUGCCAUAUCUUUGAUUUCCUUCUCCACUUUUUUUAUGCCUGUGGAAUAAGGUCCCAAACCCUGCAGAAAGUAGAACAAAUAUUUCAUAAAUGACUGAUAAAUGCACUAACAAUGAGAAAACUACUGAUUAGAGAGAAGCAUUUUCAGUACAACUACUAAGAAGCCCGGCAGGUAAAGUACACAGUUCAAAUCCCAUCGGGAACAGUUGUCAUACAGCCAUCAAUACCACUUUAGUAAAUAAAUAUUCCCCCUUUACCCAAUUUUUUGGAAUCAACAUGAGCAAAACAUCACCAUAGCUUUCUAUAUGACAGAGCAAAUAGACUCCACUAAAUACAUAGCUAAGCUACGCACACGAGUAGCACUCAGUAACUCUCAAUUAAACCUAUUCAUUUCAUUGGCCACACUUAAUCGCCAUAUAAAAAGUUUUGAACUUUACAUCAUAUAACCACGUAAUACGUAGUUUCCAAGUAUAGUGUUCAUGGCUAAUGCAAUCCCCAAUUUACAUAAACCCACACCCAACAAAUCAAAACAAAAUCUUUCUUCCGCAUACACCUUCACCUCUAUAGAGUUAUAAAACUAAAAAAAAAAAAUUAAAAAUUGACCUUUAAGUAACCCUAGAUCCAAAAUCAUAAAAUAUCCCAAAAAAAAAACACAAAUUGAUCAAAAACCCAAUACCCACGUACUUAAAAAUAAAUUGAUAACAAAUUAGACCAUAUUCCAACGAAAUAGAACCAAAAAAAAGUAAGUCUUCAAAUUGGUAAACCUAAAAAAACAGAAUUUGACAAAAUUAAGGUUUUAGAGAGAAUUUUACAUAGGUUUUAAGAAGAGCGAUGUCAUCCUCGUCGAGUGGGCGAGGAUUCUUUUCGUCCUUCAAUUCUUCAUUAUCGAUCGCCAUUGAUGGAGGUUGAUUUUUGAGUGAAAAAGAAAAAGAAAGCUUCGAUUUGGAAUUGUGUGUGUCUGGUCUUGAUAUUUAUAAGCGAGUUUAUUUUUUGAACAAGAAAUAAAUAACAAAAGAUGGUAACCCAAAAAAAAAGAUAACAAAAGAAAAAAAAAAGAUUUCUAUAAAAAUAAAAAUAUAUAAAUAACUCCUUCAAAAAAAAUAUAUAGAUAACAAAGAUUUUUGUUUUUUUAAGAGAUACAAUAGCAAAAGAUAUCUUAUUAUAGAUUAUAGAAGAUUCCAAAUUUUGCAUCCUUCAUUAUAAUUCUACUAAAAAAAUAUAAAAAAUAUUGGAAAAAUAUAAGAUAAAUACAAUAAAAAGAUAAUAUACUUAAAAAUAUGAAUAAAAUAUAUUAUAGAUAUGUUAAAAAAAAAUUCCCCACCAAAAAAAAAAGCAUAAAAAUAGGAAAAUCUACUACUGUAUUAAGCUACUAACUAUAUAUUAAAAGUAAUUAUAAGACAACAUUUUUUUCGUUGAUGAAAUAUAAUAUUUUAACAUCUACUAAUAAUCUACCAAAUAUGAUAACAUCAAAUAAAUUACUCCACGAUUAUCAAAAAAAAAAUAAAAAUUACUCCACUAUCUAUUUAAAUAAUUAAAAGCCAAGUAAGCAUGUCAUGUCAUCGUUUUUCACAGUCAGUGUCUAACUUGCCAUAUGAGGGUCCUAAGUGAUGGAAUCUUCAUAUUGCAGAGGGAUCGCAAAAAAAUAAAAAUUAUGAGGGUUAAAACAAAACUCGCCUACUUUAUAUGGGUAAAAAUUUAUUUACCCUAUGUUUUAUUCAUUUUAGAGGAUUUAAAUCCAAAUCAUAUUCCAAAAUUGCUAUUUUAGUCAUGUGGGAAAUAAUGGUGAGAUUUUCUUUUGGCACCCUAUGUGUUUUCUCAGGCGCCCUUCUAACUUAUCAAAAUACCCCUUAAGUAGCGGACACAAUCCAUUACAUAAGUAGUGGAUGAAUAAAAAUUUCUAAAGUUUGGAUGAUUUAAGAUUUCACGCGCCCCACAAACCCUAGGAGAAAUUUACAAUUUUUGCCAUCAGCUACUUAUGUAGCGGACAACCAUUUUACACGAAAAAAACAGACGAGAAUUACGUUUGAAAGAAUUAAUAAACGAUUUACAUUACAUUGGAACAUUGUUAGUUCAAUAGGAAUAAUUUUAUUACAUUCAGCAAUGAAUAUUAUAACAUAAAACAAAUUCAAAAAAAAAACAAAAAUACAUUCGGUUAGUCAUAGUGAUCAGUCUUCUUGGGGUAAAAGGCGACUUUUGGGGGACCCGGACAAUCAGCCCUCUAUGAGUAAAAUUAAAUAUAGCAAACAGUCUCAAAACAAUUUUGGAUGUAACAUUACAAAUCAUUUGCUACAGAAGGAGACCUUUAAGAGUCAACAAAUGAAAUAUGCAUUCAACCAGACUAGUUUCAUAAACUGCUCACCAAAGAACCAUAUGCCCUUAAAUAAUUUUCUCUGAAGAAAAUAAAUAUAGUUCAUGCAUGUUAUGGUCUUUGGGAAAGUGUAGAUGAAAAAAUAACUCAAUUGUAGACCAUAUAUUUGGGAGUGGCAC
rnacentral:lncRNA from 1 species